UACGUAGGUGGCAAGCGUUGUUCGGAAUUACUGGGCGUAAAGCGCGUGUAGGCGGCUCUUCAAGUCAGACGUGAAAGCCCCGGGCUUAACUCGGGAACUGCGUUUGAUACUGUCGAGCUAGAGUGUGGAAGGGGCGAUUGGAAUUCCGUGUGUAGCGGUGAAAUGCGUAGAUAUACGGAGGAACACCAGAGGCGAAGGCGGAUCGCUGGGCCAACACGGACGCUGAGACGCGAAAGCUAGGGGAGCAAACGGG
rnacentral:rRNA from 1 species